GACUAGGUGGCGCAAUGGUAGCGCGACUAUUCCACAUCAGAAGGUUGCGUGUUCGGAUCACGUCCCGGUCA